AUGAAGCCAUCAUGUGACAAGAAUCCUAAGACUGCCGCGGAAAUCUGUAUAGCCACCGCCUCUGUGCAUCGCCCUCCACUGUUACCCCGACUCUUCGCCCCUCCUUCUCGCGGCGUUCGAGGGACCACGGCCGAACCUCGCGUGAGACAGAUCAAGAUCAAGACCGGCGUGGUGAAGCGGUUGGUCAAAGAAAAAGUGAUGUAUGAAAAAGUGGCAAAACAACAGGAAGAAAAGAUUGAAAAAAAUGAGAGCUGAAGAUGGUGAAAAUUAUGACAUUAAAAAACAGGUAGAGAUCCUACAAGAAUCCCGGAUGAUGAUCCCAGAUUGCCAGCGCAGGUUGGAAGCCGCAUAUUUGGAUCUUCAACAGAUAGUAGAAUGUGGAAAAGACUUGGAAGAAACUGAGGAAUAUAAAGAAGCACGUUUAGUACUGGAUUCAGUGAAGUUAGAAGCCUGAAACUUUUCUUGUAUGGGGUGGUUUUUGCAUUGAAUCCUGGGGUCCAUUUUACAAUCCAUUAUUUUUGACCACUGCUGUGUGUUCAAGUAGUAUGAGAAUGUGAUUGUUUUUAUCUGGUUACACAUAUAUUUCUUUGUCUAAUUUAAUGUGUCAAAUAAAUGAGUACAUCUAAAA